UACGUAGGGGGCUAGCGUUGUCCGGAAUCAUUGGGCGUAAAGAGCGUGUAGGCGGCCCGGUAAGUCCGCUGUGAAAGUCGGGGGCUCAACCCUCGAAUGCCGGUGGAUACUGUCAGGCUAGAGUGCGGAAGAGGCGAGUGGAAUUCCUGGUGUAGCGGUGAAAUGCGCAGAUAUCAGGAGGAACACCAAUUGCGAAGGCAGCUCGCUGGGACGUAACUGACGCUGAGACGCGAAAGCGUGGGGAGCAAACAGG
rnacentral:rRNA from 1 species